UACGGAGGGUGCGAGCGUUGUCCGGAUUUAUUGGGUUUAAAGGGUGCGUAGGUGGCUUAAUAAGUCAGUGGUGGAAUACAGCCGCUCAACGGUUGAGGUGCCAUUGAUACUGUUAAGCUUGAAACAAUUGGAGGCUGCCGGAAUGGAUGGUGUAGCGGGGAAAUGCAUAGAUAUCAUCCAGAACACCGAGUGCGAAGGCAGGUGGCUACGAUUGGUUUGACACUGAGGCACGAAAGCAUGGGGAGCAAACAGG
rnacentral:rRNA from 1 species